GCUUGUCUCAAAGAUUAAGCCAUGCAUGUCUAAGUAUAAACAAAUCUAUACUGUGAAACUGCGAAUGGCUCAUUAUAUCAGUUAUAGUUUAUUUGAUGGUUCUUGCUACUUGGAUAACCGUAGUAAUUCUAGAGCUAAUACAUGCAUCAAACCCCGACUCACGAAGGGGUGUAUUUAUUAGAUGGAAACCAAUGCGGGGCAACCCGGAUUAUGGUGAUUCAUAAUAACUUUCGGAUCGAUCUUCGGAUCGAUGCAUCAUUCAAGUUUCUGCCCUAUCAGCUUUGGAUGGUAG
rnacentral:rRNA from 1 species